CGUGCCCUAGCGCCUAACUCCGUCGCCGGGCACCUAGCCGGGAGUUCCGGGCAGACGGAGGUGGGGGACCCACGAGAGCCCAACGGGCUCUACCGGCCGCAUCACGCGGCCUUGGGGUGUAGCCGGGAGAAACCCGGCCGGGCAGCCUGACGCCCGAACCCGACAGCUAACCCCAUCGGCGCUCGUCAGGAGAGGA
rnacentral:sRNA from 2 species